UAAUAAGUGUUUUUAUGGCACUUUUUAAAUCCAUAUCCACCUUGUUGUGCAAUGUCAGUCGAUCUUCUUCAUGGAGAUCGACCAAACAUCAACCUUUAUCUUUUAACUCUUUGUCUGAAAAAUAUUAUGAAUAAACAAUUCAAAAUAC
rnacentral:misc_RNA from 1 species